GUGCCACAGCCGCGGUAAUACGGAAGUGCAACGUUAUCGGAUUAUGGGCUAAAGCGCACGCAGGCGGUUUGUUAAGUCAGAUGUGAAAUCCCCGGGCUCAACCUGGGAACUGCAUCUGAUACUGGCAAGCUUGAGUCUCGUAGAGGGGGGUAGAAUUCCAGGUGUAGCGGUGAAAUGCGUAAAGAUCUGGAGGAAUACCGGUGGCGAAGGCGGCCCCCUGGACGAAGACUGACGCUCAGGUGCGAAAGCGUGGGGAGCAAACAGGAUUAGAUACCCUGGUAGUCC
rnacentral:rRNA from 1 species